rnacentral:rRNA from 1 species
CCAGACUCCUACGGGAGGCAGCAGUGAGGAAUAUUGGUCAAUGGGCGCGAGCCUGAACCAGCCAAGUCGCGUGAGGGAAGACGGUCCUAUGGAUUGUAAACCUCUUUUGUCGGGGAGCAAAAGACGCCACGCGUGGCGUUCCGAGAGUACCCGAAGAAAAAGCAUCGGCUAACUACGUGCCAGCAGCCGCGGUAAUACGUAGGGAGCGAGCGUUAUCCGGUUUUACUGGGUGUAAAGGGCGUGUAGGCGGGAGGGCAAAUCAGGCGUGAAAACUAUGGGCCCAACCCAUAGCCUGCGGUUGAAACUGUCGUUCUUGAGUGAUGGAGAGGCAAGCGGAAUUCCGGGUGUAGCGGUGAAAUGCGUAGAUAUACGGAGGAACACCGGUGGCGAAGGCGGCUUGCUGGACAUUAACUGACGCUGAGGCGCGAAAGCGUAGGGAGCAAACAGGAUUAGAUACCCCUGUA